ensembl:lncRNA
UGGGGCCAAAGGGUGAAGGCUGCCUCUAUCUACACCCCGCCCUCCCCUGAGUCCCAGAGUGUGCUCUCCUGGCAUCCUGUCCUCUCCAGCAUAAGGCUGAGCUCAGUCCCCGCCCACACCCCUCCCCUAGGAACCUAGGGGUUCCUAGGCAGCUUGCUAGACACCCAUGCUUUCUGUGGUGUCAGGGAUCCCAGCCACGGGCGCCACCCAGUGGACACUGUCCAGAUAACGUGAGAAGAGCCCUAUCUACAGCCUCCCUCUGCCCCUCAUCUUUGGGCCCACCUCACAUUCUUUAAAUUCAAGAAGUCUUUUACCUCCAGUGCCAAGGAGGGUUGUCAGUAAGGUCACAGACAUCCAGUAAGACGACUGAAGGGAGCUGCUUGUUCCACAACACUGAACUCACGUCCGCCACCACCUAGGUCCUACAAAAGCCUGGGGUGCUGUAAAUAACCCAGUUACACUGCAGUGCAUUUCAGUAUUUAAAAUAUCAUUUUGAAAAUGUAUUUAGUGCUUACAAUGAAAGACAGUUUUUAUCCCCCCAGCCAAAAAAAGAUGGAACUGAUGUUCAACUCACAGAAGGUUAACAGAGCCCAGGGAAAUAUGUAAUACAAUCAUUGAAAGAGAUUUCCAGUAAGAAUGGGGAAAGAUUUGGCACUCAAAUCCGUUUGGGAAAUUUCAUGCCAAACAGCUGGUUGAUAGUGAGGACCCUGGUACAUGUCUCUGGUACAUGUCUCAUCUGUCAGGGCACCUCUCCUGGCCCGCUGUCGGUCUCUGCCUAACUCAACAUGGCUUAACAGCCUAAAUCAGCCACAGCCCCCCUUGUACACUUUCUGUGAGAACAGCUUAUGAUGGCAGAGUCUAGAAAGGCCUGAAGAGGAGGACCCCGGAGAGCUUAGAGCUGUUACCCCGUAACUCUUGGCAUGGAUGCAGAGACCAGGCAGCACUGGCUGCAGAGCCCCUCCCCAGAGCCUCACAGUACCACCUCUCAGGGCCUGGGGCCUCUUCCUUGCCCCCACACCACAGUCGCUCAGGUUCCCCACCCAAGCUUCUGCCUCAGUCCCUCAGGGAAACAAAAAUUCAUUAGCAUCUUCAGAACGGGCUGCUCAGAAGAGGAGGUCAACAUUUGCACCUGCCCUUGGACACCACCCUCUGCCCCGCGCCCCAUUGGAGCUUGCAGAGGCAGUGGGAAAGUGCUGCCUACAUCUGCGUAGUGAAAAGCACCAUCACAGCCCCCACCCACCCAAGAACAGGCGUCUGCAUUAAUAAAGACCGUGUACCACCUGAAUCUUGGUACCUGUCGAAUAGCAGGUGACAACCCUGUCCUUCAAAAGAGAUGGCAAUGCUUGACCUAUUUCUCAGGGCUCUUCAGGACAGGAACCAUCUCUGCAGCGCUGGAACCAACUGCAUUCUGAUCCCCACUCAGGGAGCCUGGGGUUGGUGACUGAGGUGGGAGGUGAGGCCCAGUGUGGGCACACGGGCCUGGAGAGGCCUGGCAGAGGGAGGAAGUGUGUCUUCAGCCCCUGGAUUCUAGGAGCUGUCCGGAAGGAGCCCUGCACCAAGCUGCAGGUGACGUCUGUCUACAUGGGGGUGGGGCGUCAGGGAGAAGUGUUCCUGACCCUCUUCACAGCCUACCUGCUGGAGGCA